rnacentral:rRNA from 2 species
GAAAGAUUUAUCGGCUUAAGAUGAGCCCGCGUUGGAUUAGCUAGUUGGUGGGGUAAAGGCCUACCAAGGCGACGAUCCAUAGCUGGUCUGAGAGGAUGAUCAGCCACACUGGGACUGAGACACGGCCCAGACUCCUACGGGAGGCAGCAGUGGGGAAUAUUGGACAAUGGGCGGAAGCCUGAUCCAGCCAUGCCGCGUGAGUGAAGAAGGCCUUAGGGUUGUAAAGCUCUUUCNCCGGUGAAGAUAAUGACGGUAACCGGAGAAGAAGCCCCGGCUAACUUCGUGCCAGCAGCCGCGGUAAUACGAAGGGGGCUAGCGUUGUUCGGAUUUACUGGGCGUAAAGCG